ACACCUCCUGCCAGUCAUCACACGUCGACUUAUUUAUUAAUAUAUUUCACGGCAUUGCUCCGUCGUGUUGUGGCGCCGUUGUGGGGCCACAUGGAGCCACCAAGCCCAGCAGAGUCGUCAUCCUCCCUCUCCAGCCGCCGCGGUAAACACCAUGUCAGUAUUCCCUGGUCGCCGCGGCAUUACUCUUCCACGUCCAACGUUCCGACCUUGUUGCUGACUGCCUCUCGAGUUCGCCGUAAUGUAUGUUUCCUCACACUCGCCCCGUUUCGUAAGGAGGAGCCGCUAGGCCUCAUCUCCCCACGUGGGGCUGACCGUCACCCUCGCCUGAUAAUGAAGAGAGGACGAGACGAGAUGAGUCGCCUCAACCUGGCAUGCUGGGAACGUCCUCGCCCCGUUAGUACUGGGCGUCCUGCACCUGAGAACCGUCUCAAACCAAACCUUUAGAAAAGAAUAGAAGAAAACUACUGUUUUCAAUAUUUAAUCUCAUGAGGAAGGCAGCAUUAAUAUUUAGUGUUGUUAUAUCAUUGUAGCCUUUGCACUGCAGGAUGUUCCCGUCCAUAUUAUAAUUAUUGCUUUAAGGAACAACUGUAUACGAAUUUCUUUUUUGUCUAUUCUUGAAAGAAAUUGCACAUUUGUAAUGUUAAAGAAUGAAUAGUAUAUUUAUAAUCUGUCGUGACUUUUACUGUAAAGUUAAAGAAAAACUAUUUGUUUUUCACUCUUCUUCGACACUUUAAGACUUAUAGUAGAAUUUCGAUCAACUGUACAACAUCGUAAUGUUACACACGUAAAUGAUAUACAAUAUUUCAACAACAGGGAAACAGUAAUAGAAGAGAAACCUGAGAGCGGAUAAGCUCACAUGAUGAAUCAUUCUCAUCUCAUGUUGUAGCGAACUUCUCGGAAACAGUUGGUCAGAAUUGUUACAGGGUUAUCCUGGACAAGAUUCAAAGCCAGUGACAUUGUCUAUACCUUUUUUUAAAUCGCGCUUGACGACAUACUCACCGAAGACACCUUUCCUUCACCUGGAAAAUAUUCAUGAAUGAUGGAAUAUUUUUUUUCGUGUGUCAUUUAUUCUUUAUUUGCAUUGGAACUGACUGCAGUGCACAUAUAUUCCCAUUCUAAUUAAUUUUAAGUCUUACCUUUAUUUGGUUUUUAUUUAAGACCUACCUGUUCACACACUCUUUCCUUCCCCGGCACACACACACACACACACACACACACACACACACACACACACACACACACACACACACACACACACACA